UACGAAGGGGGCUAGCGUUGCUCGGAAUCACUGGGCGUAAAGGGUGCGUAGGCGGGUCUUUAAGUCAGGGGUGAAAUCCUGGAGCUCAACUCCAGAACUGCCUUUGAUACUGAGGAUCUUGAGUACGGGAGAGGUGAGUGGAACUGCGAGUGUAGAGGUGAAAUUCGUAGAUAUUCGCAAGAACACCAGUGGCGAAGGCGGCUCACUGGCCCGUAACUGACGCUGAGGCACGAAAGCGUGGGGAGCAAACAGGAUUAGAAACCCCGAGUGACGUU
rnacentral:rRNA from 1 species